UACGGGGGGAGCAAGCGUUGUUCGGAUUUACUGGGCGUAAAGGGCGCGUAGGCGGCGCAACAAGUCAGUUGUGAAAUCUCUGGGCUUAACCCAGAGCGGUCAACUGAUACUGUCGUGCUAGAGUGCGGAAGGGGAGACUGGAAUUCCUGGUGUAGCGGUGAAAUGCGCAGAUAUCAGGAGGAACACCGGUGGCGAAGGCGGGUCUCUGGGCAGUAACUGACGCUGAGGAGCGAAAGCGUGGGGAGCGAACAGG
rnacentral:rRNA from 1 species